GGACAGGUGUCAGAGAGGUCGAAUGAGCACGAUUGGAAAUCGUGUGUGCGCCAAAAGCGUACCGAGGGUUCGAAUCCCUCCCUGUCCG
rnacentral:tRNA from 1 species